CGUGGCCAUUCUUCCCUUACAUUCUUCAUUCUUCCUCUUCGCCGUCGUCUCGCCGAUCGUCCCUCAUAUCGUCGCGAUCUGCCGGAAUUCCCACGAACGCACGCAUCGAACAUCCGUUGCAGCCUCUCGCAUCCUUCCUUUCACUCAGUUUCUGUUGCUGAUCUGCUGCACUCUCUCAUUGAUGAACACUGCACUGCGCCAUGAAGUUCCUGGAGUACACCCCGCUUGCCCGAAUAAAUGCGUUUCUGUCUCAUGUCGACGUGGGAGGCUGCAUGAUUCAAGGUGGCUUGGAGGCGUACUCUUGCAAGAUUGCAGGAGUUGAUAAGAAGCUGUCAAGGAGUUUGGAGCAAGAGGUGGUGGAUUCUUUGGCAUAUUCGCCCUUGGACCUCUCUACCUCGCCAGUUGGGCCCCUCUCUAACACGGCAAGUCGCAGGACACUGAUUUAUCUGAUUCUGACCUUGAAUCAUAUGUAUCCUGAUUACGAUUUCAGUAUGUUGCGACCCCACCACUUUACCAAAGAACAUGGACUUCUUGCCGCAAAGCAAAAGAUUGACGUAUCUUUGGUUGAGGCAUCCAAGUUCUGGUCUGCGGAAGCUGCUGAAGAAACAACAUUGAUGGACAGCAUAUGGAAUGCCAUUGAUGAGGUGAUGAGCUUGGAGGAUUGUGAGAUGGUCUUUUAACUAUUUCUUCUACAACAAGAAACAGAAGCGCAUUCUCUACUUCAGUUCUCGAUGCAUAAGCAAGUUAUCUAUGGAUACAGCUUCUAGCGAUGAUGGGUCUGGCGAGUGGGACUCGGACUUUGUAGAUGGCAUGGAUCUUGAAGGUUAAGAUUGAAUCCGCCUUGUGUUGAUACGUAUUAUAUUUUGUUUGUAUAGCCUGUAAAUAGCAAAUGGAAGUUAAUGGUGGAUGUGAAAGCAUUCUAGUGUACUUUAACAAUCAGCUUAGAAGUAAUGUGUACAACCAUGCUUUGUAUGACCAUUUUAUUUACAGCACUGUUCAGUGUACGUUGGUAAAUAUUUACAUCACUUCGGAUAAGAGUACCAUGGGGAUUAGUAUCCGUGCUUGAAGAUAUUCAUUUGAAACCUUAGGAACUACCGUAGGUGUUUUGUCUGUAAUUAUAUGAUACUUCAGACAUGCAAGGAAA